rnacentral:rRNA from 1 species
AGUGAACGCUGGCUGCAGGCCUAACACAUGCAAGUCGAGCGGCAGCGCGGGGGCAACCCUGGCGGCGAGCGGCGGACGGGUGAGGAAUUCGUCGGAAUCUGCCUUUUUGUGGGGGAUAACGUAGGGAAACUUACGCUAAUACCGCAUACGUCCUACGGGAGAAAGUGGGGGACCGCAAGGCCUCACGCAGAAAGAUGAGCCGACGACCGAUUAGCUAGUUGGUGGGGUAAAGGCCCACCAAGGCGACGAUCGGUAGCUGGUCUGAGAGGAUGAUCAGCCACACUGGGACUGAGACACGGCCCAGACUCCUACGGGAGGCAGCAGUGGGGAAUAUUGGACAAUGGGCGCAAGCCUGAUCCAGCCAUGCCGCGUGUGUGAAGAAGGCCUUCGGGUUGUAAAGCACUUUUGUCCGGAAAGAAAUCCCUGGAGCUAAUACCUUCGGGGGAUGACGGUACCGGAAGAAUAAGCACCGGCUAACUUCGUG